rnacentral:rRNA from 1 species
UACGAAGGGGGCUAGCGUUGCUCGGAAUCACUGGGCGUAAAGCGCACGUAGGCGGAUUGUUAAGUCAGGGGUGAAAUCCUGGAGCUCAACUCCAGAACUGCCUUUGAUACUGGCGAUCUUGAGUCCGGGAGAGGUGAGUGGAACUGCGAGUGUAGAGGUGAAAUUCGUAGAUAUUCGGAAGAACACCAGUGGCGAAGGCGGCUCACUGGCCCGGUACUGACGCUGAUGUGCGAAAGCGUGGGGAGCAAACAGG